UGCAAAGGCACUCUGUGUUAUUCUUUUUUAAUGGAAUAAUUACAAUUUGUUACUUUGCUAAAAAAAAGUCUGUCAAAUCCUAUUCCUGAUAGCCUGCAAAAUGGUCAUUUGGUCAUAGUGACAGACACACUAC